UGGGGAAUAUUGGACAAUGGGCGAAAGCCUGAUCCAGCCAUGCCGCGUGUGUGAAGAAGGUCUUCGGAUUGUAAAGCACUUUAAGUUGGGAGGAAGGGCAGUAAGCGAAUACCUUGCUGUUUUGACGUUACCGACAGAAUAAGCACCGGCUAACUCUGUGCCAGCAGCCGCGGUAAUACAGAGGGUGCAAGCGUUAAUCGGAAUUACUGGGCGUAAAGCGCGCGUAGGUGGUUCGUUAAGUUGAAUGUGAAAGCCCCGGGCUCAACCUGGGAACUGCAACCAAAACUGGCGAGCUAGAGUAGGGCAGAGGGUGGUGGGAUUUCCUGUGUAGCGGUGAAAUGCGUAGAUAUAGGAAGGAACACCAGUGGCGAAGGCGACCACCUGGGCUCAUACUGACACUGAGGUGCGAAAGCGUGGGGAGCAAACAGG
rnacentral:rRNA from 1 species